rnacentral:tRNA from 1 species
CCGCUCUUAGCUCAUCCUGGCAGAGCAGCCGACUGUAGAUCGGCUUGUCCCCCGUUCGAAUCGGGGAGAGCGGACCA